rnacentral:rRNA from 1 species
CCCGCUGAACUUAAGCAUAUCAAUAAGCGGAGGAAAAGAAACUAACAAGGAUUCCCCUAGUAACUGCGAGUGAAGCGGGAAGAGCUCAAAUUUAAAAUCUGGCAGUUCCUUGAGCUGUCCGAGUUGUAAUCUAGAGAAGUGUUUUCCGCGCUGGACCGUGUACAAGUCCUUUGGAACAAGGCGUCAUAGAGGGUGAGAAUCCCGUCCUUGACGUGGGCUACCAGUGUUUUUGUGAUGCGCUUUCUAAGAGUCGAGUUGUUUGGGAAUGCAGCUCAAAGUGGGUGGUAAAUUCCAUCUAAAGCUAAAUAUUGGCCUGAGACCGAUAGCGAACAAGUACCGUGAGGGAAAGAUGAAAAGCACUUUGAAAAGAGAGUCAAACAGUACGUGAAAUUGCUGAAAGGGAAACGCUUGAAGUCAGUCGCGCCCCCUGGAAUUCAGCCCUGCUUUUGUAGGGUGUACUUUCCAGGGGGCGGGCCAACAUCAGUUUUGACCGGCAGAUAAAGGCUGGGGGAAUGUGGCUCCUUCGGGAGUGUUAUAGCCCCUGGUCACAUAUGCCGGUUGGGACUGAGGAACGCAGCGCGCCCUUGUGGCAGGCCUUCGGGCACUUUCGCGCUUAGGAUGUUGGCAUAAUGGCUUUAAGCGACCCGUCUUGAAACACGG